GACAUGCAACUGUAGUCGGACUUUUUUUCACCGGUCGUUUAUUAAUCCCUAUCGAUAAAAAUCCCCUAAAAUAAAGUUAUCCGCCUCCCCUCAAUCGUGUAGAUCAGCCCCUCGUCGGUCUAGUGACAGUGUUCAGGUUUUCAUCAGCCCUCAGCGCGGAUUUUCGUGAUUGUCGUGAGGUUUUUUGGUGCAGUGAAAGCUGGCGAGUUACCCUCAACACUGGGAAACAUCCUGCAUACGAGGACGUUGAAACACAGCCAGUCGAGCAAGUCACAAUGGACCAAUUAAGGGAUUUCCUCGACCUAACCACCCCCCACCCUCUGAAUUAUUAAACCGUCCACUAGAAUAAUAUCAAGAUGCGGGAGAUAUCCACAGUUCUUCCCCCGUGUCUGGGGGUCUGAGCCUCCCAUAUGCUCUGGUUUUGAACGGCUCAAACUGGGAGAUGUGAAUGACAGACCACCCCUGCCUUUCUUUCUAACGAAAUAAGAAAAAAAAAAGCGAAAAUGUCGUUCUUAUCAAACUUAAAAAAGGCGUUCCACUUCGGUGGAAACGAUGCCAAGAAGAAGAAGUUGUACAACAACAUAAAAAUGGACUGCGAUCCAACGGAAUAUUGGGACAUGAUUGGUGAGCUUGGAGACGGUGCUUUUGGAAAAGUUUACAAAGCCCAGAACAAGCAGACGCAGCAGCUGGCUGCUGCCAAGAUGUGUGCAUUAGAGGGUGAAGACGAUCUCAGUGACUUCAUGAUUGAAAUUGACAUUCUUUCCGAGUUCAAGCAUCCCAAUGUUGUUGAACUACAUGAGGCAUACUUCGACGAUGGAAAACUCUGGAUGUUGAUUGAGUAUUGCGAUGGUGGAGCCGUUGACUCCAUAAUGGUGGAGCUGGAGAAGCCGUUGACUGAGUCGCAGAUUGCUUAUGUCUGUCAGCAGAUGACCGAGGGACUGGCCUUCUUGCACAAGGCCAGGGUCAUUCACAGGGACCUCAAGGCGGGGAAUGUUUUGCUUACAAUGGCUGGCGGAGUCAAGCUGGCCGAUUUUGGAGUGUCAGCCAAGAACAAACACACCCUCCAGAAGCACGACACAUUCAUUGGCACCCCGUACUGGAUGGCGCCGGAAGUCGUCCUCUGCGAGACCUUCAGAGACAAUCCUUACGACUUCAAGGUGGAUAUUUGGUCUCUGGGAAUAACUCUCAUAGAAUUCGCUCAAAUGGAGCCCCCUAACCACGAGAUGUCGCCCAUGCGAGUCCUCCUGAAGAUUCAGAAAAGUGAUCCGCCAAAGCUCGAACAUCCUGGUAAAUGGAGCAAAGAUUUCAAUGAUUUCAUAGCCAAAGCCCUCAUCAAAGACCCCACCGCCCGACCAACCGCCGACGAUCUCCUGAAGCAUCCCUUCAUAAAUCGCACACUCGAUUCAAAGUCCAUCAGGGAUCUUCUCCUGGAGUACAAGGCCGACGUUGUGGAGGAAGAGCUAGUCGACGAGGAGGCUGAGAAGGCCAAAAAGGCGAAAAAACACAGGGAACAGUAUCAGCGGAUUGGCUGUGCAUGCGGCUCUCCUGGGCCUCGCCAGCCCCAUCACCCGUUCGAGUGUCAGGAGCAGCGCACGUCGCAGCUGCCCCUGGAGUUGGACCAACUCGGAGAUGACUCUACGUCUAUACGCAGCGACACUGAAGUCAGAAUUGCAGAUAAGGAUGGUGUGUCGCCCGAUCAACCCAAGAAGGAGGAGAGCAAUAAACGUGAGAUCAAUCGUGAGGGCGAGAAGGAGGAGAAGAACAAGAAACUGAGGAAGACCGAGUCUAGGGAGAAUAUUCCACAGUCUAUGGAGAAGAAACCUGCCCCUAAACCUCCUUCAUCGAGUGAUACAAAUGAACGUCGAGGCUCUCGUGAGAAGGGUCCAGCCCCACCACCUCCAGCUGUACGUCAGAACAGUAAAAAUGAAGAUUCAGAAAUUACUCCGAAGCCUAUUGACAAGACCAGUGCCAUGGAAAUUGUGCCCUCGGUCUUGGGGAAGGACGAGGCACCCCUGGAUAUACCCCCGACCCCUGAGAAUCAUGUUAAUGCUGCACCUUCGGUGGCAAGUCUCAAGAAAUUACAGGAAAAAGUACCGGCUGUGAUGGAGGGUAAGGGGGUGGUGGAGAAGGAGAAUGUGCCAAUCAGACCGAAAUCUACGGAGGUUGGUAAGGGUCUUGGUAAUCAGCUGAGCUUGGAGGAGAAGAGGAAGUCUGCUCCGCCAAAACCAGAGGCCAGUGAGGAGAAAAAGUCAAGCUACAGGAAGCAAAGCUCCCUGGAGGAGAAGAGAGGGUCCACCCAAGACCACCCUCGCGACCAGCAUUCCCCUCAGGACCGCAAAUCUCUGGAAGCGAAGCGUCGCUCAGUGGAGGAGAAGCUGAACGCAGUCCUGGAAAAGCGAAUCUCCAUGGGUCCAGACAGAUAUCCCGAGCCUAUAAAACCCCCGGAAAAGCCCUUGAAGUCGCUUUCCACCGAGAAUAUUCAAUCCGACUACACCAAGACUGAAAUAACAAAGAGCCGAAGUGUUGACUCAUCCCAAGUCGACUCCCUAGAUGUAUCCCCCAACCCCCAGCUAAAGCUCCCCAAGGACACAGUUGAUCGUAGCUCAACAGAUCCAGUGCUGAACGUCUCCGUGAUAACUUCAACUCCUGUGCGAGCUCGCAGUAAGUCAGGUGAUAACGAUGUGGUAGUUAUAACAAAAAGUCCAGAAGUAGAUCAACGUUCGUCAUCAACAACAGUGAGAAUAACCUCAGAUUCACCAGAUCCAUCAAACAGUUUGGCCUCGAAUAUAAGCCAGGUGACAGUAGUUACAACUCACCCACCUGUUCUGAUAGACGCUGCCUCGCCCCCACCUCCUCGUCGUACAUCCCCCACCUCAGAAGUGGUGAUAGUUGCCAACGAGACCAACAAAACUCAAGUCAACGAGUCAUCGACAGAUGACGAUGGCUUCACAAGUUUGGAUUCCCUGGAGUACACACCCCAGGAGCAGCCAAUAGUAAUCACUGAGACACCCAAGUGCAUUGGAAAGAAGUUGGACGAGUCAGAGGUGGUGAUUGUGACACCAAUAGUCGAUGAACUUGCUGAUACAAGUCACGUGUCAGUGGUGACUGUUGGCGAUGAGCAGGAGGAGGUGAAGGACUCGUCGGUGAUGAGUAAGAGAAGUAUGAGGAGAUCGUCGCAGAGUGACAGUGGUGAUGAGACGAAGACGAUGAUGAAGGGUGCGAUUGUGGAGGGGACAGAUGCUGAUGAUGUGCUGGUGAGCAAAAGGAUGAAUGGACAGGUGAGGAGGGGUGAACAGAAGGUAAAGGAUGUGAAGAAGGAGAAGAGGGUGUCACCAGACAGCUACGAGGGGUCGAGAUCACAGAGUGACUCUGGCUCGACAAGAUCUCAUACACCCAGCAAGAGCAUCGACAGGUCUGAUGCUGAGUCCAUAUCGACGACAAUCAGCCAGGACAGCAGGGGAUCUAACAAGGAGAAUCACGUUGGAAGGGACUCACGACAAACUGCUGAGGUGGAUGACGAGGUGGUCCUGAGGAGGAAGGAUUACACGAGAGAAGUACCGAGAACGCAGCGAACUAAGGAGGACAUACAGAUGAUGAAUCUUAAGAAGAAGACAAGAAAGAGAACGAGGAAGUUUGAAAUUGAUGGGGUUGUUGUAACAACGACAACGUCCAAGGUUAUUUAUGGUGAUGAUGAGAAUGGCCGGGUGUAUGACGAUCAGAUAUUCAGGAAGCAGGAGCUCAGGGAGCUGAAGAUGUUGCAGAAAAUGGAGCAGAAGCAGUUUCAGGAUUUGACGCAGAAAGCGCAGUUCAUGAAGGAUCAGCAGGAGAAGAGGUUUGAACAGGAGCGCCAGACACUGGAGAGAACAGCUGAGAGUGAUCUUGAUGGGCUUGGUAGACAACAGAGACAGCAGAUUGAGAGGGCUGAGGGACAGCAGGAGGCGGAUUUAAGGCUGGCAUCCAAGAAGAUUAGGAUUGAACAGGAGAGGGAGCUCAAGCAGUUCAGGGAGGGCUUGAAGCAGGAGCUCAGGCUCCUGAAACAGGAGGUUGACCUCAUGCCCAAGGAGAAGAGAAAGUGCACGUUCAAGGUGAAAAAAGAGAGGCUGGAGUGUGAGCACGAGGAGAGGGAGAAACUCUUCAUGGAGAAGUUGAACGAGAAUCAUGAGACUUCCUUGAGACGAUUAUCUGACUCUCACAGAGAGAAAAUUGCACUCAUGGAGAGACAGUUCCUACAACAGAAACAGCAGCUCAUGAGAGCCAGAGAGUCAGCGAUUUGGGAGCAGGAGGAGAGGCAGAUUCAUGAAAGACAGCAACUCCUCAAGAGACAACUCAAGGAUAUAUUCUUCCUUCAGAGACAUCAGAUGCUCAUCAGGCAUGAGAAAGAACUUGAGCAGAUGAAGAGGAUGAAUUUGAGGAAGGAGGAGGAACUCAUCAAGAGGCAAACUGUUGAGAGGAGAAAUUUACCCAAGAGGAUUAGGAAUGAGAUGAAGGCGAGGGAAGCCAUGUUCAGAGAGUCCAUGAGGAUUUCCACUCUUAAUGUUCUCAUCUCGGCGCCUGAUGCUGAAAGAGAGAAACUUAAGAAGUUUCAGGAGGACGAGAAGAAGAGGUACAGGGCUGAACAGCAGAGGUUUGAGCUCAAGCACAGUAGACAGUUGGAGGAGGUCAGGGCACAGAGUGAUGCUACUAUCAAGGAGCUUGAGCAACUGCAGAAUGAGAAGAGGAAAAUGCUCAUGGAGUAUGAGACUAUGAAGCUCAAGGAACAGGAGGAGGCGUAUGGGAAGGAACUCAGGGAGUGGAAGGCUCAUCUUAAACCUCGCAAGCAGAAAUUAGAGACGGAGCUAGCGAGUGAAAUGGAUUCAUUGGAGUUACGCUACAAGGAUUAUUUGCCAUCUCGUCUGUCUCGUAUAUCCUUAGCUACACUCGAUUACAGAAUGACGGUAUCAGACAAGUGGAUACUGUCACCGAGACUCGCAAGAUCCACACCAAAUUCCCCAGUUCCCAUAAGCAUUCCUCGUGUCUCCCUUCGUGGUGGCUCUGACACGAGUUCCAUUGGCAGUGGAACUCUGUCAAGACCACCGAGUGUUGUCUCACGUAGAUAGUUUCCAUUCGUCUUGUUCCAAAAAAAAAAAUCAUUCCAUCUGUGGGUGAAUUAAUCUCCACAAAAUAUCACUGUUAUUGUUUUUUUUUUCUUAUUUUAUCAUUUUGUUGAUAAUGGUUUAACUUCAGGGGAUCUUUUUUUUUUUGCUUUUGUGGUUGUCUAAAUCUUCAAUCUCAACAUUACACAGCACACAAUACACAUUAAUUGUUAAGGUAUUAUUAUUUGUGGGAGAUGAGAGGAUGAGAGUGUUGGAUUUAAUAAUGUGGAUGUCGCUGAUGCCUGGGUGUGGGAAGAGGUGAACUAGAUUCACUCGUUCAUUGUUAUUUUGUGAGAAUGAUGGGAUCAUUUGUCCAGUGCUUUUUGCGUUCCCUCAUGAAAACUUGACGAGUUUUAUUCGGUUUUCAAAAUUACGGGACAGAGGAUUCCAAAAGCGACUGGAGGAGCAAUUUGCUCAACAGCUGGAGGAACAAGAGGCCAUAUUUGGACCAAGCGCAAUGCCCCUGUGUCUCCCCUCAGAUCUUCCAGACUUGACCCAUCACACUGCUGGCUCAACAAGAAGUUCCCUCUCCU